AUUGAACGCUGGCGGCAGGCCUAACACAUGCAAGUCGAGCGGAUGAAGGGAGCUUGCUCCUGGAUUCAGCGGCGGACGGGUGGGUAAUGCCUAGGAAUCUGCCUGGUAGUGGGGGAUAACGUCCGUAAACGGGCGCUAAUACCGCAUCCGUCCUGAGGUAGAAAGUGGGGGAUCUUCGGACCUCACGCUAUCUGCUGAGCCUAGGUCGGAUUAGCUAGUUGGUGGGGUAAAGGCCUACCAAGGCGACGAUCCGUAACUGGUCUGAGAGGAUGAUCAGUCACACUGGAACUGAGACACGGUCCAGACUCCUACGGGAGGCAGCAGUGGGGAAUAUUGGACAAUGGGCGAAAGCCUGAUCCAGCCAUGCCGCGUGUGUGAAGAAGGUCUUCGGAUUGUAAAGCACUUUAAGUUGGGAGGAAGGGCAGUAAGUUAAUACCUUGCUGUUUUGACGUUACCAACAGAAUAAGCACCGGCUAACUUCGUG
rnacentral:rRNA from 1 species